UUUUUAUUACAUACUAUAGCCGACGAAAAAUUAGGGUAUUUCGUCGGCUUUAUUAUUAUUUUUUUAUUACAUACUAUAGCCGACGAAAAAUACUAGACGUCGUCGGCUAAAAGAACUUAUAGCCGACGAAAUAUUAGGGUAUUUCGUCGGCUAAACCCAAAACUUUUUCUGUUACAUACUAUAGCCCUAUCUUCGGUGGUUAUUUUGUGUAAAAUUUUUAUACGACUUAUUGUGUCUCAUCGAUUUGAAAAUAUUUUCAGUUGAAGGUCCGGCCAAAAUACGAAAUUUAGACGGUCCAACGACCUUUUCCGUGCACUUAGGGGUUUGACUUACGGGAUUGACCGUCCGGAUCGAGCCCUUAACCUUGUCAGAUCAAGUUGAAUUUUUUCCCAUACAUGUAUUUUAUCAUGAUGGUCAGAUCUGACCGUCGGAUUUCCUUUUCUCAAGUUUGAUCAUCACAAUCACAACAUGCGUACUAAUGUUGUAUAACUUGUUUACCAAGUGUUAAGUAAAUGUUCCGUUUCAAAAACAAAUUAUACGUAGAACCUUCAAACGUAAAAAAGUCGUGAAAUAAGACAUGACCAGAAUGGUGAAAUACGUCUACGGUUGAAAAAUCACGGUAUUCCGGUCAUGUCUCAGUGCCGAUAGUUGCGGUCAAUGCAAUUUUCCAUUCUUUCUCCCUAUGGGUAGCCCUAUAUUCGGUGGUUAUUUUGCGUAAAAUUUUUAUACGACUUAUUGUGUCUCAUCGAUUUGAAAAUAUUUUCAGUUGAAGGUCCGGCCAAAAUACGUAAUUUAGACAGUCCAAUGACCUUUUCCGUGCGUUUAGGGGUUUGACUUAACGGAUUGACCGUCCGGAUCGAGCCCUUAACCUUGUCGGAUCAAGUUGAAUUUUUUCCCAUACAUGUAUUUUAUCAUGAUGGUCAGAUCUGACGGUCGGAUUUUCGUUCUAAAGUUUGAUCAUCACGAGCAGCAGUCACAGUUUGACGAAUGUAUAAAAAGUUAUAAAGCCGACGAAUUUAAAAGGUUAUAGCCGACGAAAUAAUN
rnacentral:lncRNA from 1 species